rnacentral:rRNA from 1 species
UACGUAGGGGGCAAGCGUUGUCCGGAUUCAUUGGCGUAAAGAGCGUGCAGGCGGCCAGGUAGGUCCGUUGUGAAAACUCGAGGCUCAACCUCGAGACGUCGAUGGAAACCAUCUGGCUAGAGUCCGGAAGAGGAGAGUGGAAUUCCUGGUGUAGCGGUGAAUGACGCAGAUAUCAGGAAGAACACCUAUGGCGAAGGCAGCUCUCUGGGACGGUACUGACGCUGAGACGCGAAAGCGUGGGGAGCGAACAGG